GUGAGGUAAUGCAUAAUGCAGAAAAAAGUCUAUCCGUUUAAGUAUAAACAUUGUCAGUAAGUACCACUCUGUACCUAGUCCCUAGUACCACUCAGAAAGGUGGCAUAAGAGUUAAUGUGGAUAGUUUUCUAGAGGCAUCAGUUCAAUGGUUGUUCAGAGUCAAAGAGAGAUUGAAGCAGACAAGCUGUUGGGAAAGGAACUCGCAAAAAACCAGAGCGUAUGAUUAUGCUCCAGUGCAAAACUGCAAUGAAUUGCCACUGGAGUGCUGUGGAUGAGGCCGCAGGAUUGGCAGCCCUGGUCUGCCAAACCUGGGUGAGACUAAAGCCAAAGCAGGAGGAGAGUGCCUGGCUGCCUGUAGGGAAUGACUUGGUUUUAAAUUUAUACCUUUGGUCUCCUGUAUCAACCUCUGCAUAUGUAGCUGAUUUCUGCAAUUUUUUAAAAUUGGUUCAGUGGAUAUGUCUGUGGCUCUACCUUAGGAGAAACAUUGCAUGCAAAGUCCUGUGACCAGUUUCACUGCAGGUGCUGUUACAGGCAGGAAUACAGAGACAGUUCCCAUUCUUGAUGGACAGCUCAGUUACAUACCCAAACUGCAGUCAAGCCUUUGACGUGCAAUUGCUGCUGAGACCAAAGAAAGUGGCUUUUUGGUGAAACUUUCUCUCCUCUGUAUGUGGUCUUCUGAUAUCAUGAUAGGAUGAAACUUUUUUGAUGUUUCUCUUGCCUUGGGGAGGGAAAGGAGGACAAAGCAACCUGUUCAGUGUAUACUCAUUUCCUCUUCCCAUCAGGAUCAUACUUCUGAGCUGUUUGACCUAUGCCAAGAGGGAUGAGCUGGGCUUCCAAAUCCAAGUUAGCAAUGACAUUCAAGCACUUCUCUCACACACUUCCUGCAGAAAAAAAGGAAUUCCCAAGGCAUGGGGCUGCAGUCCAUCUCAGCUGUCUUGGAAAGCUCCUUCUACCUCCUUUUUCACAGGCAUAAGCAGGCAUGGAGGCUUUGAAAAUCAGGAAAGGCACCUUGAAGUGGGCUCUGCAUCAGGAGCAGGGUGCUGACAGUGCCCCAUUUUGUGGCACAUCAAAAUGAGACAUAUCUUCAAUCAACAGCAGCUCCAGCACCGGUGAGCUGGAGUACAACCAAAAAGCACAGCAGAGCUGAGUGUGUGCACACAUGCACACAGCACAAUGGAAGUUCAAGAGAACAAUAGCAUACAAAACAAGACCAGCAUACAUUAUUCCUUAUCAAGUUACUACUGAUGACAUGAGAGUUUUUAGAUGUGUAUGCUGGAAGCCAAAAAGUACACUCAUUAUGUGGAGGAUAACUGGUUUUCCUGUGUGCUGCUUUGGUGUGCAGCCCAGGACACCCCAUGCCUGCCUCUAUGGAUCUGGGGACAGCCAAUGACAUCCCCAACAAGGACUGCUGGAGAGGUUUCACACACAUGAAAGCUACGAAAGGCUUGUAAGAGCUAGUAAAAAACAUCUCGGUAUCUAGUAUCUAGGGGAACUUAUUAUUUCUUGUAGCAAGUUUCUACACCUUGUAGCUUAUUACCUCUUGUAACACGUUUGCACAAAGUCUGCACUUGCCUCCUAUGACAUUAUUACAAGGUUUGUACCAUGGAAGUUAAGCUCUUGCAUUUUGCCAGUGCUAAAUUUCAUUCUGAAGGAAAAAUGCCAAGGAAAGGUUUUGGCAGGGUGAAUCGAGCAGUGUGGAUUGCUCGGCAUCCCUAAAGGAAGAGCCAUCCCUACCUUCUUGCCUCUAACCUCUGCUGUGGAGCAGGGCGUGCUGUUCAGAGCCAUGAGGGGUAUCUUUGGGCAGGGUCUUUGUUCCAGGACCCAGAGUAUGUGAACAUGCUGUGCCUCUGAGCCUGGGGGUGAAGUUGGUGUGUUCUGCUGAGGACAACUCAAUCCUGCUAUAAAGUGUGGUACUGUACCCAGAAGGCAACUUGCAAAGCACUUGUGGAGAUUCUGAAGGUGUGUCUGAUUUAACAGAGUGAUGCCUCCAACUGAGGGGUGUGUUGUAAGGGAGGGGUGUUGUUCUGUGUGUUUCCUUCAUGAUGGCAUUGCUGCUCUCUGGAUAUCUUCCUCUGUAGGAGGGGAAAGACAAGAUCCUUCCAUUAUUUUAGUAGGACAGAGGGGGUUUUUAUCCUUCCAUGGCUGGAGGUGUUAUGGUGUGUCCUCCGGGGAGCUUCCCAGGGAAACAUCCAUUUGAAGAUUAAAAACUGCAUCCCUCAGCCUGAUGCAGGUUUUAAGGCCCUCGGCUUCAUCUCAGCUUCUGACUCAACAGUGCCCUAGAUCUGAAUGUGCCAGGUCAAACAGGAAAGAUGAACAAAGCAAGCACAUGUUGUAUUUUUUCUAGAGUUGCCAAGGAAGACUGUAUAGGUGGGAAUCUGGUAUCAGCCUGGAUAUUGUCCCCUUGGAGAGUUCUUUCUUUCAAUAGCUCCCAGUUAUAGCACUGAUAAUCACAUGUGGGUACCAAAAUCUUCCUCAGUGAGCCACCACAUGAAAACAAGUUUAUUGUCCAAGAGCAUUUUAACUGCCCAGCGUACAGCUUCUGUGAGAGUGAUUUAUUUACACGGGAAAUGUGAGGGUGGUUGUGAGGAGAUACUCAUUGUGGCUCAUACCCUGUCUUGCCUCAUGUAAGAAAUGGGAGAUCUGCAUGAAACACUAACUGUACUUGAGUUAUGAGAAAAUAGAAAUCCUUCCUAUGUCCCUCUCUCACUCUGUCUGACACCCUCCUAUUUAACAAGUCCCAUUAUCUUCAAUAGGAGGCAAUUCAUAUGUCAGUGGUAGGAUAAUGGCUGGCUGUAAGGUAGUAGAUAACAUAAUCUGCCUCUUGAAUUCUACAGAAACUGUCCUUUCUAUUUAUUUUACUUGACCUGGAAAGAGCAAAGUGCUGUUAAGCCAGCAGGUUUGAUUGAUUGCAGAUAUAUAUCUAUACCCAGGAGUCUUGCCUAUCAGUAAGUUACUUUCAAGUAAAGAUGGGUUUGAUUUGCAAGCUUUGCCUUUAAUCUAAACCAAUGUGUAAUGGGUAGCUAAACCCCAAGUCAUAAGCUGCUGUUAUAAAUAAAGGCAAUCACUAUGAAAAAAAACCA
ensembl:lncRNA